rnacentral:rRNA from 1 species
CUUGGUCAUUUAGAGGAAGUAAAAGUCGUAACAAGGUUACCGUAGAUGAAUCUGCGGUAGGAUCAUCAAAGAAAGCGCAGGUUUGGCGGCGCAGGGUGUAAGAACCCGAAACCGCCGAGCCUGCACAUUAUACAACACAUGUGAACCUGUAGAGCAGUGUGACUAGUUUGGGGGAGCGAUGCAGGGGCAGCUGGCUGUGCUUUAAUUGGCAGCGAGCGGCCCUCUGGGUGUGUGGUGGUUAGCUAGCUAACCAGCCAGCCAACCCAGGGCAGCCCCCAGACUGCCAUUUCAAACAAUGUAAACCUGUGGCCUAGUUUGAGUUAAAGCAGCGCGCGCGGUCUAGUUGCCGUUGCGUGUUUGACAAUAAUCUCAUCACAACUUUUAACAAUGGAUCUCUUGGCUCUCGCAUCGAUGAAGAACGCAGCAAAUUGCGAAAAUUAGUGUGCUUUGCAAAUAGUGAAUCAUCGAGUCUUUGAACGCAUAUUGCACUCUUUCUAUGAAAGAGUAUGCCUAUUUGAGUAUUGGUUAGUCCCCAACUCACCACACAGGUUUGUGUGUGCGUGGAAUUGAGCGAUUCCAGCAUUAGUUUGCGCUAUGUGCUGGGCUGCUUGGAAUGUCGUUGAUCUCGGAGAAGCCAGCGUCCGGGUUGCGUGUUGUUGCUGUAGCGACGACACCCCACCCAGACCCACGCUUUGAUCUGACGUAGUAGUGUGUCCGUCGUCGUCCAACCCACCCGUUGGCGCGGCGACAAGCAACAUUCGUCAGCGUGUGUCGUCUCAAACGCACACAGGAUCUCUGCUUCGUGUAUGGCUGCACUCUGGUCACCCCCAACCACAUCACUUUAAACCCAGUCUCAAAUUAGGUAGGACCACCCGCUGAAUUUAAGCAUAUCAAUAAGCGGAGGA